GUCAAGGUGGUGGAGUGGUUAACACGUUCGCCUGCUAUUCUCCUUGGACAGCUCAGCGGAUGCCUUCGGGCGCGCAGGUUCGAAUCCUGUCCUUGACG